rnacentral:rRNA from 1 species
AGUGAACGCUGGCGGUAGGCCUAACACAUGCAAGUCGAACGGCAGCACAGUAAGAGCUUGCUCUUACGGGUGGCGAGUGGCGGGCGGGUGAGGAAUACAUCGGAAUCUACUUUUUCGUGGGGGAUAACGUAGGGAAACUUACGCUAAUACCGCAUACGACCUACGGGUGAAAGCAGGGGAUCUUCGGACCUUGCGCGAUUGAAUGAGCCGAUGUCGGAUUAGCUAGUUGGCGGGGUAAAGGCCCACCAAGGCGACGAUCCGUGGCUGGUCUGAGAGAGUGAUCAGCCACACUGGAACGGGGACACGGUCCAGACUCCUACGGGAGGCAGCAGUGGGGAAUAUUGGACAAUGGGCGCAAGCCUGAUCCAGCCAUACCGCGUGGGUGAAGAAGGCCUUCGGGUUGUAAAGCCCUUUUGUUGGGAAAGAAAAGCAGCAGGUUAAUACCCCGCUGUUCUGACGGUACCCAAAGAAUAAGCACCGGCUAACUUCGUG